rnacentral:lncRNA from 1 species
AGAGUAGUAAAUUAUUUGUUAGUUGACGAUGCAAUCAGCAUGCUGAUUAAGGUUGCUUGGUUUUUUACUAAACAUUAACUGAAUGAAAACGGGUAGUCCUUGUUCUGCUUGGGGGGCUUUAAGGAAGCAAAUGGACUUUCAGAACAGAGAUUGUCAAUAAAGGAAUACCCAUCUCGAGUUCUGGAUAUGUGCUCUGAGAAGGUGCCCAUGUCACCGACCACACUGGAGGCCAAUGCAGAUACUGGGGGAAGGUUCCAUGGUAGCUAAGUGUGGACAAGCUAAUCACUGAAGUUCCCUGAUGCAGAGUUGAUAAUCUCUCUAGAGUUGGAUGAAAGACUGUGCUGCCUUGAAGCUCUGAGAGAUGCCAUGCCAAUUCAAGGCAGGGUCUUUAUUGUUGAAACUCUUGCGUAAUGACAUCUUUAUUCAGGUGAAAAUACAGGAUGAAUUUCAACUAUAUGAUAUUGUUUAUGUUCCUCAGACAUGUUAUUUGUCUUUACAAAGAUUGGUUUCAAUAAACUGUGUGACUGAUAUUAAAUAAACAUGGAAUUUUACACAUUCAUAAUA